UCCGGUUUGUCACCGGCAGUCUCAUUAGAGUGCCCAACUGAAUGUAACAACUAAUGACAAGGGUUGCGCUCGUUGCGGGACUUAACCCAACACCUCACGGCACGAGUUGACGACAGCCAUGCAGCACCUAGUUUCGUGUCCUUGCGGAAAGCUCCCUUUCAGGAGCGGUCACUAACUUUCAAGCCCUGGUAAGGUUCCUCGCGUAUCAUCGAAUUAAACCACAUGCUCCUCCGCUUGUGCGGGCCCCCGUCAAUUCCUUUGAGUUUCAGUCUUGCGACCGUACUCCCCAGGUGGAUUACUUAAUGCUUUCGCUCAGACGCGUACGGUGUAUUGCACACAUCGAGUAAUCAUCGUUUAGGGCGUGGACUAC
rnacentral:misc_RNA from 1 species